rnacentral:snRNA from 1 species
GAAGAAAUUCAACCAAGCG